UGUUUCGGCUAGGGGGCCAUCCCGGCUUACCAACCCGAUGCAAACUGCGAAUACCGGAGAAUGUUAUCACGGGAGACACACGGCGGGUGCUAACGUCCGUCGUGAAGAGGGAAACAACCCAGACCGCCAGCUAAGGUCCCAAAGUCAUGGUUAAGUGGGAAACGAUGUGGGAAGGCCCAGACAGCCAGGAUGUUGGCUUAGAAGCAGCCAUCAUUUAAAGAAAGCGUAAUAGCUCACUGGUCGAGUCGGCCUGCGCGGAAGAUGUAACGGGGCUAAACCAUGCACCGAAGCUGCGGCAGCGAACGUAUCACUUAAAGCGAUUCAGCGGGUUACGAUUGACGGAGCGAAGCGACGUCAAAGCGUAUACAAAGUCGAGUCGGUUUAAGGAUACGUUCGUUGGGUAGGGGAGCGUUCUGUAAGCCUGUGAAGGUGGCCUGUGAGG
rnacentral:rRNA from 1 species